rnacentral:rRNA from 1 species
GUCUGUGGCCAUGCACCCUGAACUGACCCAAUCUUAGCUAUCUCAGAAGCUAAGCAGGGUCAGGCCUGGUCAGUACUCAGAAGGGAGGAGCAGAGGUUGCCCAUGAUC